rnacentral:snRNA from 1 species
GGGUGCGGGGGCGAUCUGGCUGCAACAUCCGUACCCCACUGAUCGCCAGGGUUGGCUCGGCUGAUCUGGAUGGCUAGGUGGGUGUCCCCUUCCUCCCUCACUGCUCCACGUGCAGCCCUCCCAGAGCUGUGCGCUUCGUGGAAGAGGGUGACCUUCCCGCAGGAGGAGGACCGUUCUUCGUCAGGGGUAUAUGAGUUAGCUGCGUUCCCCUGCCGGAACCUCCAGCCAAGCUCUCAAGGUCCAUUUGUAGGAGAAUGUAUGGUAGACAAGCUUCUAAGACUCCAGACACGUCCACAUGAGGUGCUGCAUGUGGCAGUCUGCCUUUCUUU